GAAUUGCAGGAUGGGAGACUGUCUGUUGCACCCAAAUCCUGCUUGUGGGCUUCUCAGUGUGGCAUCUGGUUAGCCACAGUGAGAACGGGAUGCUGGACACGAGGGGCCUUUGGCCCAAUCCAGCAAGCUCCUCCUUGUGUUUUUUGGACUUCCCUAGAUUUGUAAGUCCUUUGCGACACAGUGAACCUAACUUGUGCAAACUUUUUUUUUUAACAAUUCAGAACUUUCCUGCUGUGAGUAUAAAUCUCCAUAUGAAACAUUAAGCCAUGUCACCAUCAUUGAGAAGGUCGUUCUGUAUUUGGUGUCCCUGCUCUCCUGACAGAUACUUCACUCAGUUGCUUUAACUUCUGUGUUCUAUUGUUGGCGGGGUGAGAAGCUGCCUAGAUGUUACCUUGGGAUCCGUGUUGAGUUUACCUGUCAGUUAAACCUGGUUGAAUUUCACAUAUUUUAGGAAGGCAACAUUCAUAAGUGUAAGUUGGGAGGGGAAAGAUGGAACACCGCAAGUCGCAAUGCAUAUUUAUGCCCUUUCGCAGCGGGAGUUUUGGCAAAGUGUUGCUCCUGCUGUUAAACAUGGUGACCUUGUUGCCUGUGAUUUACUAACUGUUUCACAAACAUUUCCUCACUCUGUGUGGCUUGAUAUAUUUUCCGGCCUCAACAUCUCGGCAGAGGCUCCUGUCCAAAGCCAAACCAGCCUUUGUUUACAGCUUUUCCGGAAACUUUUUUUUUUUUACAAAGGAGAAGCUUUCUCCUCUUCCGGUGCUCUAUUUUUUAAGUCAACACUUCUUGUUGGAUUAUUUGUGCAAACGAGCCAUUUGGGUACAAGGUAUCACUGUGGAUCCAAGUGGAAACAGCUCCUUUUCUAAAAAUAACACCAGGGUCGUGUGAACCAGCUCAGAAACAUCAAGACACAUGGACUUUUCAAGGACCUUUAUGUUUGCUGGUUGAUUUUUUUCCAUAAUAUUCUGGGCCUGGGUUUUUUCUUAAUAUUUAAUUCCCACAUUGGUGUCUCUAGAAUAGAACAUGGAAGUUAAAGGGCUGAAAAAACAGGAAGGAGCCCUUCAAGGAAUCACAUAUAUCAAUGUUAAAAAUAACAGCCUCCUUUUGCCCCAGUGUGUGUGAUUUUCUUCUAAAAUAUUUGUUUAGAAGACUUCUAUGGAAAUGUGUGCCAAGGUCCAGCAUGGCAUCUCGGAGCUAUUCAGGACUUUGUACAGACAAUACAGACAACUUAUAGAAGUCAACCAGGGUUGGAUUUUCUGGUGGGUGCGUGUCAAACCAGUCCAGCAGAUAAAUUUCUAAAUCAGUUCCCAGUACUUGUGUGAGUUGUGAUUCAACAAGGUCAGCAGGUCUAUUGAGUGUUAUAUACCUGAUGGCAGGAUCAAAUCACAGUCUGGGGUAAGCUGUCAGUGGCUAAGUGCGGGUUGUAGUUUAGAAGAAGACAACCCAUGAGCUUGGGUUUGGAUGACACACUAAGGGAAACCAUGGCUCAGCUCAUAGCAGCAGGAGGACCAAGAAGGCCACAGUCUCCUCUCUGGGAUCCUGGUGUUCCUUCUGCUAUGUCUCUGUGGUUAUCAAAGGACAUGCUUGCACCUACCCACUCCCAACAGCUGUAGCUUACGCCAGUAUAAUUUCAGACAGUAAAGUGCUUCUCUUCAGCACUUUCAGUGCAAGGGAGAGUAAACUUAACUCCAGUUCACUUACGUGCUUCUGCAUCCUCUGUUGGGACGAAGUCUUUCACUACUCACUUUUUAAGGCUGGCAUAAAUAACUGCUGUUUGAGAUAAUGGUUUUUUAAUGUUACCCCCCUUUUUUAAUUUAACAGGAUUUAUAUACCUUUAAUAGGCACAAACCUCUAAGCUGCUUACCUAAUGCAAUAGAAAAUACCCAUUAAAAAUACUGAUAAAACCAAACAGUUUAGCCAAAAACAUUUCAAAAUAUAAGCAGUAAUAAAAUAAAAUUAUAGGUUAAAAUUACAUGUCUGGGUAGGCUUACCUGGCCAGUUUCUUUUUUGAGCAGGCCCUGAAAACAAUACAGCAAAGGGCCCUGCCUAAUAUAAAUAGGCAAGGAGUUCCAGAGAGUAGCUGCUAGUGCCACACGGAAGGGUGGAUUCCUUGCUAAGUGCAAAAUGAACUGUGGCGCUUGCAAAAUGUGACGCUUUCUAUACCCUCUGCUGCUGCUGCAGCUGCUGCUUUAGAUCGUGAGCCUGCUGGAAAUAUGGCACUAUUCCGCUCGAUAAUCUUGGGGAGGGUUUUAAUGGGAGCAGUUGCCACAAUGAGGAAAUUCAGAGGUUCGGCCUUUUCUUUUGAUGGUUGUUCCAGCGAUCCAUCUUUGCAAGCAGACAGGAAGCAGAGAAGACUAAUGUUGGGCAGAUGACAUAUCCUUGAAUUCAAGUUUGCUGGCCUUUGGGAUACGCGAGAAGCUCUGGCGAGCAUAGAGGCUACAUUAUGUCGGUCGCUUGCUGUAAGCCCGAGAAGUGAUUAAGAUGCUGGCACUAAAUAAAAACUGGCUAUUGAAGAGCCCCUGCCCCGAGGACCUAAUUCCAGAUCAAAUUUUGCAGCCCGCGCAGGAACAAUGGAGGUCCAGUACUCUCUCCUCUCCCUUUUUGUCACGUUGCACAAAGGCAGCCCCUGAAAGUCUUUUGAGAGACAAUGGGCCCCUCUGGAUACGAAGCCCAGCCCAAAAGAGGAGUGGGGGAGCAGGAACAGGGAGAGGAAACGGUACAAAAACACAUUUUAAAAAUACAUUUUGCACUGCCCUUGACAUUUGGAAUAAAGAAGAACCUGGUGUGUGGAAAUCCCAUCUGCCCUUUUGCCACGGGGCGUUGUGUCUUCCACUGCUGCCGCCACCCCCUGGCUCCCAAGUCUCUAGUCAACUUGAUCCUUUGACAUCCUGACUCCUCUUUGUAAAGAAGAGGAAUACAGAUAGAUAGGCAGAACAGACAGAUACAAAGAUCAUUAAUGUUUUAGUAAAAGAAUUGCUGUCGUGAUGAAGGCAAUAAUGCAGGACAGCUUUGUGAGCCUGGACACCUUAUGACGCCUGCUGGAUUAGACCAAAAGCCCAUCUAGCCUAGCAUCUUGUUGUCCUGGUGACCAACCAGAUAUCUCAAAGGGAAGCCCCCAGGCAGCACCCGAGCACAGCAGCACACUCCCCACUUGUGAUUCUCAGCAGCUGGCACUUAUAGGCACACUGCCUCCGACCCCUGGAGGUGAAGCAUAGCCAUCAAGGUCCAGCAUUGACUCUGGUUGGGGGUAUCUCCCCAGGGGUUCCAAAGCCUGACACCUCAUUCUUUCAAAAGUGAAAAUGUCAGGGGUUGAACCUUGGGCUUUUGUGCUAAGCAUGUGCUUACCUCCAAGCUCUCACCUGUACCUGUCCUUUAUAGAGUGAACUGUCCUGAAUUAGCUGUGAUUUCCCUGUAUUUUGUGGUUUUGUUUUCCGCUACAUUUCUUCCAUGUGGCUUCUGAUAUAAUGUGCUGAAUUCCUCCUCCUUCCUUAACCUCCCCCCC
rnacentral:lncRNA from 1 species